rnacentral:pre_miRNA from 14 species
GUCUUCUGAAAGACCCCCCGGAGCAGGGAGACCCUCACUCAAGUCUCGGGAUGAUGCGACCCCCCAAGAACUCGUGUGAGACC